GACGAACGCUGGCGGCGUGCUUAACACAUGCAAGUCGAACGGAAAGGCCCUGCUUUUGUGGGGUGCUCGAGUGGCGAACGGGUGAGUAACACGUGAGUAACCUGCCCUUGACUUUGGGAUAACUUCAGGAAACUGGGACUAAUACCGGAUAGGAGCUCCUGCUGCAUGGUGGGGGUUGGAAAGUUUCGGCGGUUGGGGAUGGACUCGCGGCUUAUCAGCUUGUUGGUGGGGUAGUGGCUUACCAAGGCUUUGACGGGUAGCCGGCCUGAGAGGGUGACCGGCCACAUUGGGACUGAGAUACGGCCCAGACUCCUACGGGAGGCAGCAGUGGGGAAUAUUGCACAAUGGGCGGAAGCCUGAUGCAGCAACGCCGCGUGCGGGAUGACGGCCUUCGGGUUGUAAACCGCUUGCGCCUGUGACGAAGCGUGAGUGACGGUAAUGGGUAAAGAAGCACCGGCUAACUACGUG
rnacentral:rRNA from 1 species